rnacentral:rRNA from 1 species
GAUGAACGCUGGCGGCGUGCCUAAUACAUGCAAGUCGAGCGAACGGACGAGAAGCUUGCUUUUCUGAUGUUAGCGGCGGACGGGUGAGUAACACGUGGAUAACCUACCUAUAAGACUGGGAUAACUUCGGGAAACCGGAGCUAAUACCGGAUAAUAUUUUGAACCGCAUGGUUCAAAAGUGAAAGACGGUCUUGCUGUCACUUAUAGAUGGAUCCGCGCUGCAUUAGCUAGUUGGUAAGGUAACGGCUUACCAAGGCAACGAUGCAUAGCCGACCUGAGAGGGUGAUCGGCCACACUGGAACUGAGACACGGUCCAGACUCCUACGGGAGGCAGCAGUAGGGAAUCUUCCGCAAUGGGCGAAAGCCUGACGGAGCAACGCCGCGUGAGUGAUGAAGGUCUUCGGAUCGUAAAACUCUGUUAUUAGGGAAGAACAUAUGUGUAAGUAACUGUGCACAUCUUGACGGUACCUAAUCAGAAAGCCACGGCUAACUACGUGCCAGCAGCCGCGGUAAUACGUAGGUGGCAAGCGUUAUCCGGAAUUAUUGGGCGUAAAGCGCGCGUAGGCGGUUUUUUAAGUCUGAUGUGAAAGCCCACGGCUCAACCGUGGAGGGUCAUUGGAAACUGGAAAACUUGAGUGCAGAAGAGGAAAGUGGAAUUCCAUGUGUAGCGGUGAAAUGCGCAGAGAUGUGGAGGAACACCAGUGGCGAAGGCGACUUUCUGGUCUGUAACUGACGCUGAUGUGCGAAAGCGUGGGGAUCAAACAGGAUUAGAUACCCUGGUAGUCCACGCCGUAAACGAUGAGUGCUAAGUGUUAGGGGGUUUCCGCCCCUUAGUGCUGCAGCUAACGCAUUAAGCACCCCGCCUGGGGAGUACGACCGCAAGGUUGAAACUCAAAGGAAUUGACGGGGGCCCGCACAAGCGGUGGAGCAUGUGGUUUAAUUCGAAGCAACGCGAAGAACCUUACCAAAUCUUGACAUCCUUUGACAACUCUAGAGAUAGAGCCUUCCCCUUCGGGGGACAAAGUGACAGGUGGUGCAUGGUUGUCGUCAGCUCGUGUCGUGAGAUGUUGGGUUAAGUCCCGCAACGAGCGCAACCCUUAAGCUUAGUUGCCAUCAUUAAGUUGGGCACUCUAAGUUGACUGCCGGUGACAAACCGGAGGAAGGUGGGGAUGACGUCAAAUCAUCAUGCCCCUUAUGAUUUGGGCUACACACGUGCUACAAUGGACAAUACAAAGGGCAGCGAAACCGCGAGGUCAAGCAAAUCCCAUAAAGUUGUUCUCAGUUCGGAUUGUAGUCUGCAACUCGACUACAUGAAGCUGGAAUCGCUAGUAAUCGUAGAUCAGCAUGCUACGGUGAAUACGUUCCCGGGUCU